GUGAGGAAUAUUGGUCAAUGGGCGAGAGCCUGAACCAGCCAAGCCGCGUGAAGGAAGAAGGUGCUAAGCAUUGUAAACUUCUUUUGUCAGGGAACAAAGAGCGCGACGAGUCGCGCCGUGAGUGUACCUGAAGAAAAAGCAUCGGCUAACUCCGUGCCAGCAGCCGCGGUAAUACGGAGGAUGCGAGCGUUAUCCGGAUUUAUUGGGUUUAAAGGGUGCGUAGGCGGCGAGUUAAGUCAGCGGUAAAAGCCCGGGGCUCAACCCCGGCGAGCCGUUGAAACUGGCUGGCUUGAGAGGCCGAGAGGUAUGCGGAAUGCGCGGUGUAGCGGUGAAAUGCAUAGAUAUCGCGCAGAACUCCGAUUGCGAAGGCAGCAUACCGGCGGUCGUCUGACGCUGAGGCACGAAAGCGUGGGGAUCGAACAGG
rnacentral:rRNA from 1 species